rnacentral:piRNA from 1 species
AUAAAUUAGUAUGAACUUGCUGACUGUGUGU